rnacentral:tRNA from 2 species
AGGAGCGUAGUCAAAACGGAAAAAGACAACGGAUUUUGAUUCCGUGCUGUGUGAGUUCGAGUCUCGCCGCUCCCGCCA